GAUGAAGAACGUAGCGAAAUGCGAUAAGUAAUGUGAAUUGCAGAAUUCAGUGAAUCAUCGAAUCUUUGAACGCACAUUGCGCCCGCCAGUAUUCUGGCGGGCAUGCCUGUUCGAGCGUCAUUACAACCCUCAGGCCCCCGGGCCUGGCGUUGGGGAUCGGCGGAGCCCCCCGUGGGCACACGCCGUCCCCCAAAUACAGUGGCGGUCCCGCCGCAGCUUCCAUCGCGUAGUAGCUAACACCUCGCGACUGGAGAGCGGCGCGGCCACGCCGUAAAACACCCAACUCCUCUGAAGUUGACCUCGAAUCAGGUAGGAAUACCCGCUGAACUUAAGCAUAUCAAUAAGCGGAGGA
rnacentral:misc_RNA from 1 species